UACGAAGGGGGCUAGCGUUGCUCGGAAUCACUGGGCGUAAAGCGCACGUAGGCGGAUUGUUAAGUCAGGGGUGAAAUCCUGGAGCUCAACUCCAGAACUGCCUUUGAUACUGACGGUCUUGAGUCCGGGAGAGGUGAGUGGAAUUCCUAGUGUAGAGGUGAAAUUCGUAGAUAUUAGGAAGAACACCAGUGGCGAAGGCGGCUCACUGGCCCGGUACUGACGCUGAGGCGCGAAAGCGUGGGGAGCAAACAGG
rnacentral:rRNA from 1 species